rnacentral:rRNA from 1 species
AUUGAACGCUGGCGGCAGGCCUAACACAUGCAAGUCGAGCGGAAACGAUCCUAGCUUGCUAGGAGGCGUCGAGCGGCGGACGGGUGAGUAACGCGUGGGAAUCUACCGAGUAGUGGGGGACAACUUAGGGAAACUUAAGCUAAUACCGCAUACGCCCUACGGGGGAAAGAGGGGGAUCUUCGGACCUCUUGCUAUUCGAUGAGCCCGCGUCAGAUUAGCUAGUUGGUGGGGUAAAGGCCUACCAAGGCGACGAUCUGUAGCUGGUCUGAGAGGAUGAUCAGCCACACUGGGACUGAGACACGGCCCAGACUCCUACGGGAGGCAGCAGUGGGGAAUAUUGGACAAUGGGGGCAACCCUGAUCCAGCCAUGCCGCGUGUGUGAAGAAGGCCUUCGGGUUGUAAAGCACUUUCAGUUGUGAGGAAGGGGAGUAGGUUAAUAACCUGCUUCAUUGACGUUAACAACAGAAGAAGCACCGGCUAACUUCGUGCCAGCAGCCGCGGUAAUACGAGGAGUGCAAGCGUUAAUCGGAAUUACUGGGCGUAAAGCGCGCGUAGGCAGUUAUUUAAGCCAGAUGUGAAAUCCCCGGGCUCAACCUGGGAACUGCAUUUGGAACUGGGUAACUAGAAUGCAGCAGAGGAUAGUGGAAUUUCAGGUGUAGCGGUGAAAUGCGUAGAGAUCUGAAGGAACAUCAGUGGCGAAAGGCGACUGUCUUGGCCUGACAUUGACCCUAAGGUGCGAAAACCUUGGGUAGCAAAACAGGAUUAAAAUACCCCGGGUAGUCCACCGCCGUAAACCGAUGUCUACUAACCCUUUGGGAUCUUUAAAAAUUUUAUUGGCCCCACCUAACGCGGAAAAUUAAACCGCCCGGGGGAAUAACGGCCGCCACAAUUAAAACUCCAAGGGAAUUUGACGGGGGGCCCGCA